rnacentral:rRNA from 1 species
AACGAACGCUGGCGGCAUGCCUAACACAUGCAAGUCGAACGAGAUCUUCGGGUCUAGUGGCGCACGGGUGCGUAACGCGUGGGAAUCUGCCCUUUGGUUCGGAAUAACAGUUGGAAACGACUGCUAAUACCGGAUGAUGACGAAAGUCCAAAGAUUUAUCGCCAGAGGAGGAGCCCGCGUAGGAUUAGCUAGUUGGUGUGGUAAAGGCGCACCAAGGCGACGAUCGUUAGCUGGUCUGAGAGGAUGAUCAGCCACACUGGGACUGAGACACGGCCCAGACUCCUACGGGAGGCAGCAGUGGGGAAUAUUGGACAAUGGGCGAAAGCCUGAUCCAGCAAUGCCGCGUGAGUGAUGAAGGCCUUAGGGUUGUAAAGCUCUUUUACCCGGGAUGAUAAUGACAGUACCGGGAGAAUAAGCUCCGGCUAACUCCGUGCCAGCAGCCGCGGUAA